GGAUCCAUGUGCAGAUCGAUUGUGCAUGCCUGCGCCUUUGACUUCAGUUUAGCAGCCCCGAAAAGUUCGGCAAUAUCCGUAACUGACACACUCGCAAGCAAAAACGACUCCAAGGCAUCAGCGGGCAGCAAAUAUCCAGGUCUCCCAGCAGUUCUUGUGUGGUACAGACUUGUGCAAGCGACACGCCACCUCCUCCAAAAUCUGGAGAACUAAUGGGUCAGCUUCAUUAUCCGUGUCUGCAGCUAAAUGCAGUAGCCUCUCAUUCAAAAAUAUCUACACUAAACAAUAAAUAGUCAUCACUGACAGUAUUGCUUUCAGUUAAGCUAGCAAGGUGACUUAAUUCUUCUGCAAUUGUCUGAGACAAGACCUGGAAAAUUCACGGAUGCUCAUCAUCUUUAUGAUAUAGCGAAAGCAGCAGCCCACCUAACAAGCAUGUCAGUCAUCAAGAUGUUACUACAGUGUGCCAUGCUGUUCCAAUAAUGAACAAAAAACUAGUGGUAUUUGAGUUUCCACGAUUUUCCAGUGGACACAGAAAUACGUGUCUGUUGAGGGAGAGCGAUCAGGAGAGAUGAGGGCCAAGUUUUAAAAUCCUUUGUGGAGGAGGACAGUGUGUGACAGUGUCUGAAAGGAGACAAACCAGGUCAGAGCCUCCCUACAACUCACACUUCUUGGAUGAACAUUCAUUACUGCAAGCAGCUGUGUUGGAAAUCAAAUCUCUCUGUACAUCUAACCUGUGCUUUUUU